GAUGAACGCUGGCGGCGUGCCUAAUACAUGCAAGUCGAGCGAACAGACGAGGAGCUUGCUCCUCUGACGUUAGCGGCGGACGGGUGAGUAACACGUGGAUAACCUACCUAUAAGACUGGGAUAACUUCGGGAAACCGGAGCUAAUACCGGAUAAUAUAUUGAACCGCAUGGUUCAAUAGUGAAAGACGGUUUUGCUGUCACUUAUAGAUGGAUCCGCGCCGCAUUAGCUAGUUGGUAAGGUAACGGCUUACCAAGGCAACGAUGCGUAGCCGACCUGAGAGGGUGAUCGGCCACACUGGAACUGAGACACGGUCCAGACUCCUACGGGAGGCAGCAGUAGGGAAUCUUCCGCAAUGGGCGAAAGCCUGACGGAGCAACGCUGCGUGAGUGAUGAAGGUCUUCGGAUCGUAAAACUCUGUUAUUAGGGAAGAACAAAAGUGUAAGUAACUAUGCACGUCUUGACGGUACCUAAUCAGAAAGCCACGGCUAACUACGUG
rnacentral:rRNA from 1 species